rnacentral:pre_miRNA from 1 species
UUAAGUCAAAUUUGUAUGCAGUUGGAACGUUGCCUACGUUUGCCGCUAGGGGCGCUGUUCCAACUGCAUAGAACGUUAAAAAC